rnacentral:rRNA from 1 species
UACGUAGGGUGCGAGCGUUGUCCGGAAUUAUUGGGCGUAAAGAGCUUGUAGGCGGUUUGUCGCGUCUGCUGUGAAAAUCCGGGGCUCAACCCCGGACUUGCAGUGGGUACGGGCAGACUAGAGUGUGGUAGGGGAGACUGGAAUUCCUGGUGUAGCGGUGAAAUGCGCAGAUAUCAAGGAGGAACACCGGUGGCGAAGGCGGGUCUCUGGGCCGAUACUGACGCUGAGGAGCGAAAGCGUGGGGAGCGAACAGG